CUUCACCGACCCCAGCCACAGCGGGCGGUCCUCCGGGCGUCCCUGCCCGUAGGUGGCCAGCAGCGCCUGCGCCUC
rnacentral:antisense_RNA from 1 species